GCUAUUGGAGUUCGAUUAAGCCAUGCGAGUCGAGAGUCCUCGGGACUCGGCGUACCGCUCAGUAACACGUGGGUAACCUGCCCUAUGCUGGGGAAUAACCUCGGGAAACUGAGAAUAAUGCCCCAUAGCCCACUACGCCUGGAACGGUGAGUGGGUCAAAGCUCCGGCGGCAUAGGAUGGGCCUGCGCCGUAUCAGGUUGUAGGGGGUGUAAAGUACCCUCUAGCCAUCAACGCGUACGGGUGUUGGGAGACAUUGCCCGGAGAUGGAUUCUGAGACACGAAUCCAGACCCUACGGGGUGCAGCAGGCGCGAAAACUUGGCAAUGCGAGCAAUCGUGACCAGGGAACUCCAAGUGCGUAGGGUAAGACCUACGCUUUUCUUGACUCUUCAAAGGUCUUGGAAUAAGGAGUGGGUAAGGACGGUGCCAGCCGCCGCGGUAAUACCGGCGCCUCAAGUGGUAGUCGCUUUUAUUGGGCCUAAAACGUCCGUAGCCGGUCUGGUGCAUUCGUGGGUAAAUCAACCCGCUCAACGGGUUGAAUUCUGCGAGCACGGCCAGACUUGGGACCGGGAGAGGUGUGGGGUACUCUCAGGGUAGGGGUAAAAUCCUGUCAUCCUGAGAGGACCACCUGUUGCGAAGGCGCCACACUAGAACGGAUCCGACGGUCAGGGACGAAACCUAGGGGCACGAACCGGAUUAGAUACCCGGGUAGUCCUAGGUGUAAGCGCUGUGGACUUGAUGUUGGGGGCGCUCCGAGCGCUCUCAGUGUCGAAGCGAGGGUGAUAAGUCCACUGCCUGGGGAGUACGGUCGCAAGGCUGAAACUUAAAGGAAUUGGCGGGGGAGCACUGC
rnacentral:rRNA from 1 species